rnacentral:rRNA from 1 species
GACGAAGGGGGCUAGCGUUGUUCGGAAUUACUGGGCGUAAAGCGCGUGUAGGCGGUUGUUCAAGUCAGGUGUGAAAGCCUUGAGCUCAACUCAAGAAAUGCACUUGAUACUGGAUGACUAGAGGACCGGAGAGGAUAGUGGAAUUCCCAGUGUAGUGGUGAAAUACGUAGAGAUUGGGAAGAACGCCAGUGGCGAAGGCGGCUAUCUGGACGGUUUCUGACGCUAAGACGCGAAAGCGUGGGGAGCAAACAGG